rnacentral:tRNA from 1 species
GCCUGGGUGGCUCAGUCGGCUGAGCGUCUGACUUCGGCUCAGGUCAUGAUCUCGCGGUUCAUGGGUUCGAGCCCCGCGUCGGGCU